GGAGGGUACAGCUCAGUGGUAGAGCACAUGCCUAGCACGCAUGAGGUCCUGGGUUCACUCCCCAGCACCUCCA
rfam:Camelus ferus unplaced genomic scaffold scaffold415, whole genome shotgun sequence.